GUGCCAGCAGCCGCGGUAAUACGUAGGGAGCAAGCGUUGUCCGGAAUCAUUGGGCGUAAAGCGCGCGUAGGUGGCUUCGUAAGUCCGUUGUGAAAGUCAAAGGCUCAACCUUUGAAAGCCGAUGGAUACUGCGGAGCUAGAGUACGGAAGAGGCGAGUGGAAUUCCUGGUGUAGCGGUGGAAUGCGCAGAUAUCAGGAGGAACACCAAUAGCGAAGGCAGCUCGCUGGGACGUUACUGACACUGAGGCGCGAAAGCGUGGGGAGCGAACAGGAUUAGAUACCCGCGUAGUCC
rnacentral:rRNA from 1 species